ensembl:lncRNA
UAAUGAGUGAAGAAGUUGUAACUUACUCCAAUUUGCCAUUUCAACCAUCAUCUCAGCCACAGAGGGGACAAAGACUUGAAACUACCAAGAGAAAAGAUCACCCUACUCCACUUUCUUCAUGGAAAUAUGUUGCUGUGUUUCUGUGGAUCAUUUGCCUGGGGCUUCUUCUGUCUGUUGGAUACUUGGUCAUUGAGUUGAAUAAAAAGCCAUUUCACCCAGAAGGAUGUCCAAGAAAUAGCUCCUCCAACACGGAAGCAAAUAAAACAGUUUGGAAAUACCCUACUUGUUCAAACAACUGGCAUCAGUAUGGAGAAAACUGCUACUAUUUUUCAAGAAACAGUGUUCCUUGGAAGGAAUGUCACCAUUAUUGCACCAAUUUACAUUCUGAAUUUCUUAAGUCAAAUACUGAAGAAGAGAUGAAUUUUAUAAUAAAAUUGUCAAAAAUGCAAUGCGGUUUGCAAAAAGAAAAGUUUUCAAUUAGUUUAUACUACAGCAAUAAACAACUGAACUGGGUUUGGCUAGAUGAUACAAAACUUACCCUGGACAAGCUUCAACUUCCAGGACAUGAGAAUGCUAAUAAUAAAUGUGCACACAUAAAAUACGGCCGAAUAAUUGCUGAAGAUUGCCAUAGUAGUGGUUAUUGUAUCUGUAAGAAGACAAUAUAUUAGAUUAGAUAAAAUGCCUGAGAUUUUCCAGUGAGAUGAAAACUCACUAUGAAACUAUGUAAAAACGUGUUUAGCUAAAAAUAGAUGUCAUUAAACAUUGAAGUCUAUAUGUUAUUCUUUAACUUUAAUCCAUAAUUUGUAGCAGGAUUGAUACAAUAAACAGUAUUUUAGUGACAUUGGAUAAUUGUUGUUUAAUUGCUAAGUUGUGUUUGACUCUUUUGUGACCCCAUGGACUGUGGCCUGCCAGGCUCCUCUGUCCAUGGGAAUUUCCAGGCAAGAAUACUGGAAUGGGCUGCCAUUUCCUUCUCCAGAGAUCUUCCUGACCCACAAAUCAGACUCACGUCUCCUGCAUUCCAAGCACAUUCUUUACCACUGAGCCACAGGGAAAGUUCAACAUUGGAUAGUAUAGAGAAAAUAAAAAUAUGAGGGAACAUUAUUGAGAUAGAAGUAAGAAGGAAAUUCCUCUAUUUCUGUGACUGCUGCUGCUAAGUUGCUUCAGUUGUGUCUGACUCUGUGCAACCCCAUAGAUGGCAGCCCAUCAAGCUCCACCAUCCCUGGGAUUCUCCAGGCAAGAACACUGGAGUGGGUUGCCAUUUCCUUCUCCAAUGCAUGAAAGUGAAAAGUGAAAGUGAAGUCGCUCAGUCAUGUCUGACUCUUAGCGACCCCAUGGACUGCAGCCUACCAGGCUCCUCCAUCCAUGGGAUUUUCCAGGCAAGAGUACUGGAGUGGGUGCCAUUGCCUUCUCCGAUUUCUGGGACAGAGGUAUGAAAUAAAUCAAGUUUUAUUCAGGUCUUCCAGAACUUUCAAAAUAAAUUUUAUCACUUUAGCCUCAUGCUUUUGUUUAAUUUUAUAUAAAACAUAAUUCUUUGCCUUAUUAUGGUCAUCUAUCAAAGAAAUAAAUAGUUAAGUAAGAAGACCCUGAUGCUGGGAAAAAUUGAAGGUAGGAGGAGAAAGGGACAACAGAGGAUGAGAUGGAUGAGAUGGACAACAGAGGUUGGAUGGCAUCACUGACUCAAUGGACAUGGGUUUAGGUGGACUCCGGGAGUUGGUGAUGGACAGGGAGGCUUGGCAUGCUGCAGUUCAUGGGGUCUCAAAGAGUUGGACACGACUGAGUGACUGAACUGAACUGAAGAAAAUAAAAUUGUCUCAUAAAAUGAAUCUCAAAGAAAAAUUGCAUUUUUGAUAAGCUAGAAAAUAAUGGUUUAAAAGUGGUUAUAGAGAACCAGGAGAUGUUAAAAGUUUGUUAGCCACAAAAAUUAUCAAUACAAUGAAUGAAAAUGGGUAGUCUCAGUUGGAGUGGAAUCAAUAGUAUUUAUUUCAUUCAAAAAUAAGAAUUUUUUUCCUGUCACUGGUCAGGCACUGAGUUUUAAGGACUGGAGAUCCACAUUUGUACAAAUCAAAGAACUAUGUCUACUUUCAUAGAGCUUUCAAACUAAAUGAGAAGACAGACAUUAGUAAAAUAAUCACAUUGGUAGAUGCAUAAUAUAAAUAAAAUAAGUUCUUAGAAAGGGGGAAAAGAUAGUGAAAAAGGGAAAAAGUAGUUAUCAGAUUAUAACAAAGAACUUGAUCUAGACUGAGAAUUUAGUGAAGAACUUCCUGAUAUGGAGAGCUGAGAAAUUAAUAAUUUUAUUAAAAGAAAAGAAAAGGGAUCCGGGAGUUAAGAGUAUUUCAGAGACAAAAAAGAAACAACCAAACAGCAGGUGGAAUGAAGAUCAGGGUACUGAAUGCCAGAGAUGGAAGGGGAAAACAAUUUGAUGUAAUCCUGGAGGAGGAAAAAAAAAAAAAACAACAGAAAACACAAAUCUUUGAAAACUGUGAGAAAGUCUUGAUUUUUUCAGGGUAUUUUCAAUCUUUAAACUCACGCAAGAUUUGAGAGCCUACUGUAUAGCGCAAGGAACUCUAUUCAAUGCUCUGUGGUAACCUAAAU